AACUCUGAGAGACUAUGUUUAGCCUUGAUCUGUUCCAGCUCAGUCCUCUGCCGGAUGCAGCAGAAGCCGCUAUGGUUGCUCUGGCAGCCCUUGGGUUGUUUCUAUUGACCUUUGAGUUUCUAGCUACUGCCAAACGGCUUCAGAGGUCGCUUGCGAACUGCCCAGCUGUAACAGCAAAGUGGAGAGUGUUGGGAGAAGGGCGAAGAGGGUCAGAAACAGAGGGUAGUGAAAAGUUGCAACGAACUGAUCGAUCUCAAGCACCAGACCCUUCCAAUUCGGAAGUGAAAGAUUGGGGAAAGAACGCCCCGGGUGAGAAGGGAGGAGGUAAAAGGAACACAGUAUUUUGGGAGAAAAAUUUUGUCUUUGUGCCUGUUAGAAGUGUGCUUAAGGUCUGGCGCUGGCUCUGGGAACGCCGCGGCGUCCGGGCGCUGACGCGACAGCUUUACAGAGUCAUACUGAUCAGAUUUGAUAGAGGCAGACCGCCUGAAAAUUUAUUCAGGAGAAUCAAACAAAAGGACAUCUCAGUGCCCGUGCACAGCCUGAUAGAGUUAAUGUAAUUGGGUUGUGAGUAAAAAUACUCAGGGCUGUGUUUCAGUUCCAUACCAUUGGCGAAUGUCGGUCGUACUGCUCAGAUAAUAUCUCUCAGUAUCUUACAGGAAUUGGGUUUCAACACGUUGGUGGACUAGUCCAGGAAUUGAGACAAUCCAUCGCCCAUAUCAACUCCACUCGAGUGGAUAGUCACCGUGAACACCAUCUGGUUUUUUCCCUAUUUGUCUAUUGUUUGUCUCUGGUGCACCAGGAUGUCCCCAUGUCUGUCAGUGUAUGUCUGUGGUUUUUGUUUCUCGUCUAAAUUUUUAUGUUUCAUGUUCAAAAGAAAAAAUGGUAAAAACUUUACCUGCUGGUCGUGCACACCUUGACUUGGUUUUAACUCGUUUCAAAAAGGAACAAAUGAAUAAAAAUCAGUUUCAAUCAGGUUUUUAGAGCCCUGUGCCUGGAGCCAGGUGUCUAGAUUAGCUGGAGAAGCUGCCCAGAGGCUAAGCAUCUACACGAGCUGAUCUUAAAAGCGCCAACAGCUUCUUCAUACAAGAGUUGAUAGCUGUUUCUCUUAGAAAAAUCCCUGACUUAUUACUUGACUCAACAGGUGACAAGGUGCUUCUCUUAAAAUCAUAACAAAAAGGGUAAAAAUGGUGUUUGGUCUAAAUAUUAAAGAUAGGUGUAGCCACUUCAAUUUUGUUUCUCAUUGGUUUUAAAUGUAUAAAUAUGCUCUACUUGCCUUGGUUAUGGACGAUUGGCUUUCAAGUUACUGGAUAUGGUUAAAAAGGUAUAAUAUUGGUAACAGAAAGUUGACAUAAGGCUGAUAAUCUAGAUGGAGUCAUUCUAGAUAACAUGUGACAUGAGCCAACCUAGGGAGACAGGUCUAAAUUGAGGUAAUGUUUUUAUGGAAUUCUUAUUCUAGGAACCAGGCUUCUAAAAGAAUUUAGGACAUUGUCCCUUGUUGAGGUAUUGGAGACCACACCAUUGUGCGUCCAAAUGUAAGAAUUGACAGUCAAACUUUGUAACAUAAUAGAUAGACCUGGGGUGCCUUGGAGACUAGAUUGUUUGUUGGAGGUUGAGUUUUGCUUUCCAAAGUUGUGGCUUACCCUAAAGCUAUCAGUAUUUUAUGCUAAUUACCACUGCCCUAAGGACAGCUGCCUAGUCACUACUCAGAACUCAAGUGACCUCGUGGCUGUGUUCUGGUGUUACGAAGAGAACUUAAAGAUUGUGAUUUAGGAUUGCCAGUGUUACAUUGACUAACUCAAACUUAUUUUUAAUUAAGGAAAAAUCAAACAGGUAGAGAUUGUUACAAGAUUUACGAAGGAUUGAUAAGGUUUUGGAACUUGUGAGAACAUUACAGCCAGUUUACUUACUCCAACUGCCAUUUCAGGAUAGAUUUAGAGGAUUGCUAACAGCCUCAUAUUAGGUAAUUUUGUUGCUUCUUCAGUGUAAGAAGUUAGAACUUAAAUCUUUCAAUGUAUAUGGAAAUUUUUACUACAAACCUUUGCUCUCAAAAUGAGCUUUAAUAUUUGGGAGUAGCUGUUAAACUACUCCGGAUAAGAAUAUUUGAAGCUAAUUUUAAGCUUCUAAAGAUAUGUUAAUUGGCUAAGUACCUCACCUUCCCAGAGGAAUUAGGUCUUUGUUAUGCACAUUGAAGAUAAAGCUUCAGCUGUGUUAGUACAGAGUUGUGGACUGGAGUCAUGGAAGUAUUUUGAAUAGAAACCUGGUAAAACAUAUCUUAUUCCAAACAACAGUUAAUUGGUUACUACAAAAUACUGAUAUUUGGCCUAUUACAUAUACAAAUUUUUCAGAUGAAAUUGAUAAUUUUACUCUUUACAUGCUUUUGUACUUCCUGUAUAUUUGUGCAUACAACCCAUAGGAAAUGCGCUUACUGUAUUUAUAGGUGGUUCAUCUAAUGAAAAGGCUACAGGUAUGAUUGGAUCACUUGUUUAUUCUCUUGAGUUUCUAUUGCUUCAACACAGAUUAUUAAAUUCCGUAGUUUAGCCACUGUUUUUAAAUCAAACUUUCUAUUCACAUACUGAUAGCCAAUGUGUGGCUUGUGGUUUACAAUUGAUUUUGAAAGGAAAAUUAUACGAAUUCUAGGUCUAGAAAUAUAAAAUUAAAAGAGUAAGCCCCAAAAGCCACAAACUCAGGGUUAAGCCCUGCCGCCAGGAAUAGCAGGCCAUAAAGAUAAAGAAAAGGAAUACAAAACCAGCUCAGGCUAUCGAGGACUGACCCAUAAACCAUCCAAAGACAUCCCCCCAGCUUACUCAGAGUCAUAUUUUAACCAGAUGUCCUCCAGACCCUGAUAAGCCUCGACUUGUGCUUUUCAGCCAUUGUGUCCUACAGAGAGCACUCCAGGAAACCGGGCAGCCCAAGCCUAACCAGAGGUGUUUCAAAUACAGAUGCUACAUCAAUUUUGACAAACUUUUAAAAAUAAUGAGGACCUGAAGACCCAACCCUUCUCCUGAUUUAGUAGCUCUGUUCCAGGAACCAGGGGGCCAUAAAACCUUCUGGUGUCCCCUUAUCUCCUGGAGCCAUAAAACAAUCCUGUAACUUGUGGUGCAUUCCCCUUUGACAUCCCCCAUCCCCUGGUGCUCACAGCCUCUGCCUUUAAAUACUCUUUUUCCCAGCCUCUCGGGGCCGACACCUCUGUCUCCUGCACGGGAUACGUGUCGGCCCGGAGAUCUCUGUAAUAGGUCUCCGUAAUAAACCUCGCCUUUGCUUAUUACAUCCAAAAUGGUCUCUCUGUGUCUGGGGUCCGCGAUUUCCCAAGACUUGAAUAAGGGUCUCUCUGCGUGGGAUCUUUCAUAAUGGGGGCUCGUCCGGGAUCUGUGCGACCACCCCAGACUCCGAAGACCCCUUGGAGGUGAGUUGGAUGUUUGUCUGAGUGUUUCUGUGUGAGCGGCGCCGCAAUUGUCAGUCUGUGUCUGUCUCUGUUUUGGUUCCGCCAUGUGUGUAUAUAUGUAUGUCUCGGUACUGGUGAAGUCUCACUCUGGUCAGUACUUAGAGAGUGGACGUGGAGUCUCACUCUGAUCAGUACUUAGAGAGUGGAAGUGGAAUCUCACUCUGGUCAGUGCUUAGAGAGUGGACGUGGAGUCUCACUCUGGUCAGUACUUAGAGAGUGGAAGUGGAAUCUCAUUCUGGUCAGUGCUUAGAGAGUGGACGUGGAGUCUCACUCUGGUCAGUACUUAGAGAGUGGAAGUAGAAUCUCACUCUGGUCAGUGCUUAGAGAGUGGACAUGGAGUCUCACUCUGGUCAGUGCUUAGAGAGUGGAAGUGGAAUACGUGUUAGUGUCUGUUGUCUGUAUUCUGUUUCUGUGUUUGGUAUCCCAGAAGCAGCUAAGGUUAAGCUGCAGUUUGGGCCAGGUACUGAAGGUACCAGGCAUCUGUGAAAAUUGGUUAUAGGAUGCUUUGUCUUGGUCUUGUUUGUCUGGUUUGUUUUCUGUGGUAUUGUCGAGUGUCUUUUUGGCUUUUGUUUCGUUUUUGAAUUUUGGACUGAUGACUGUGUUUGAAUUUGGACUGACGACUGUGUUUGAAUUGAAAUCUUGGACUGAUGACUGUGUUUGAAAUCAUGAAACUGUUUGCUUUGUUCGUCAAAGAGUUUUACUUGGUCCUCCUGGUGCUUAAGUUAAAAGUUAAAAAUAAUUUGCUUGAGAAGAGGUCAAAAUACCACUAUUUGCAGAUGACAUGAUAGUAUAUUUAAGUGAUCCCAAAAGUUCCACCAGAGAACUACUAAAGCUGAAAAACAACUUCAGCAAAGUGGCUGGGUUUAAAAUUAACUCAAAUAAAUCAGUAGCCUUCCUCUACACAAAAGAGAAACAAGACGAGAAAGAAAUUAGGGAAAUGACACCCUUCAUAAUAGACCCAAACAAUAUAAAGUAUCUCAGUGUGACUUUAACCAAGCAAGUAAAAGAUCUGUACAAUAAGAACUUCAAGACUCUGAAGGAAGAAAUUGAAGAAGACCUCAGAAGAUGGAAAGAUCUUCCAUGCUCAUGGAUUGGCAGGAUUAAUAUAGUAAAAAUGGCCAUUUUACCAAAAGCGAUCUACAGAUUCAAUGCAAUCCCCAUCAAAAUACCAAUCCAAUUCUUCAAAGAGUUAGACAGAACAAUUUACAAAUUCAUCUGGAAUAACAAAAAACCCAGGAUAGCUAAAACUAUUCUCAACAAUAAAAGGACUUCAGGGGGAAUCACUAUCCCUGAACUCAAGCAGUAUUACAGAGCAAUAGUGAUAAAACUUGAGAAAAAUUGUUUUCUGCCAGGGAGUUUUGUCUUUCUCUCUUGAGCCUCCUCCCCAAAGAGAGAGGCCCCUCCCUUUACUCCCUUUGUCCAACCUAGCUGCUGUUAACAGUUGUGUAAACAGACAUUAACAAAAACCUUGGGGAAGAAACCGCUCCUAAAUAAAAAAGUUCCCCAGAUUAGGCCUUCUGCUAUAAAACAAGUAUAGUGAGUAGAAAACUUAAUUUUAUUGAUCCUGCUCUAGUGGAGGUGUGUUGGUUGAUAGCCAACGUUAAUUUUUAAAACAUAGUGUUUUAUCUGUGCUUGUGCUCGCAACACACAGUAGGGGGGAGCGAAAUUAGCUGCGGAGCUGCUGCAGUGAGCAUGGGGACUUCUCAAGUCUCACCCAAUUUUUCUGGCUCUUCAGGAGCUGUUUAAAAGGAAAAGGCUUAAGGUAAAAAGAAACACUAUAGAGAGAUUUCUUAGUGAAUUACUACACCUUGGUUCGCGAUCUCUGGGAAUCUCAUGGUGGACAGCUGAGAUAAGCUAGAAAAGGAUUUAAAUUUUGCUUGGGAACAAAGAAUCUUAAAGGCGGAGUUUCAGCCGGUAUGGCACUUAGUGCGUAGCUGCCUAAAAGAUCAGAAAUGCUGUCAACAGGAUAUAAAAAAGGGACAGGCUGUGUUAGAAAUGCUACAGGAAGAAUGAUCUAAAAAGGCUGAGAGUGAGGUGGGGGAGGACUCUAAGGAAAACAAGAACAAGAAAGGAAUUUCUGCUUUUAGUGGCCAGACCUUCAACUCUUGCUCACAGAAAGAGGGUGCUCAUUAGGAGAAGUUCUUUAAGGAGCCUGCCUUAUCUGCUGGCCCUAUUCCAAGAGAGGGGUCAGUCUCCAGCAUUAAAUUACUUUUCUCACUGGUCAUCAUUAACAUGGAGAAUGCCUUUGAUCCUAUCCCCACAGCAGCCAGUUCCUGCCCCUGUGGUCGAAAUGUCCCAGGUUGGGGGACAGAGAAGCCCCUAAAAUAGUUUCAAAGAAUCUACAACAAACUGUGAAAAACUUUGUUUUGUUUUGCCAGUUUGAAUUUAGAACUCAGGCUUUGGCUGUGGCCAAGGUCAGGAUUAAUGUUUUCGUUUCCAUGGGCCCUUAGCCCACUGAGACAGUUUGGUGAAGGACUACUACUGCAGUCCUGAUAUUCAGAGACAUGGAGAGAGCUAUAGUUUUUUUUAUUAUUAAAGGUUGGUACUAUAGUAUUAACAAUCUCUUUAUUAGAUAUAAGAGACAAGAAGCCCAGGUGAACUGGUUACAAUUCUUUUGUCAGCUGCUUAGUAUUGAAAGACCCCAGCUUAGCAGCAGUAACGCCAUUUUGCAAGGCUGUACUUAAGGUGACUGGUUCAGAGAAAGGUUAAAACACUGAGUACAAAGCGGCUGCCAAGCAGGAUGUGUUUGGUUGAAGGCCUGGCAACAGGACGACUGCGGUUGAGCACCUGACAAUGAAAAAAAGCCCCGGGAGAGGUCCCACACCCUGGUGGGGGGCCGAGUCAGUCGUUAUGUUCCAAGAAGGUAGCUAAGAAACUUGCCCCUGGGCUAAACCCUUGCCAUAUUAGAAUCCACCAAUUAUAUCCCUGUAACCAUGCAUCUGCUUCUGUAUGCUUGCUUCUGCUCCCCAAAAUCCUAUAAAAGCCCAUCCUUGGUUCCGUGGUCAUUAGAGUUGGAGGGUCUCCAUCCUGAGGGAAAGUUCUCCCUGAGAGCUUUUCAGUAUCUAACACUCAGGUUCUAACCGUCUCUCCAUCCUUUUCUUAUUAGUUCUUACUAGAAGCCUAGUGUCCGUCAGAGGCUGGGUUUAUUGAGAGACAGAGUCACUGAGCUGGCACCAAAGGGAGGUACUCCUUAAGGGAAAAUCUAAGUCCAGAGAGACAACCUGUAACAGAUAGACUGCCCCUAUGCUCACUUUUCUGUUUCACAGACACAAGGCUUUUUGUCCCAAGAAAGCCUCCUGGCUUAGCUGUGUGACUAAAUGCUAUUUGUCCUCUUCAGUGGACCUCUAUUCUCAAGAUUCCCUUGUUUUCUCACCAUCCCAUUUAAGAUGCUUGUUAGUAGCUGUUACAGGUCUUCUUUACCACCGAGGAAAGACGGAAUCCUACUAGAGGCCAGAAAAAGUGUUCCAGAGAUGGAUGGAAGGCCCUCACUUCUGCCUGCUCUCUUCAAACGCCUAAAGGUAGGGAGUGCCAGGUCUGCCACCAGGCUCCAAGGGUGGGUCUCUGAGGGGCUAAAAAAUGCCCCACCAAUCUGGCUAAGAUAAGAAAAGGAUAAAGAGAAUGUUACAGAAAUUUAAAGGGUUAAGUUGCUGAGAGUUAGUAUAAGUUACAAAGAAAAUAAGGUUAAAAAAGAAAGAGAUAAAAAGAACAGAAAGCUAGAAAAGAAAAGAGACAAAAAGAAGAGGAAGUUAGAGAGCUAAAGAGAGAUAAAAGACAAGAGAGGAACAUAUACUGGCCACAGUAGUUAGGGAACCUAGGAAGAUAGUACCUGACAACAGAAGAGAAUUCCUGGCUAAAGAUCAGUGUGCCUAAUACAAAGAAAAAGGACACUGGGUCAGGGACUGCCCAAGAAAGAACAAGAGGGGCCACUGGAGAGCUUCUUGGUCCUAGAGUGCUGGACAGGGACGCAAUGCUCUGUGCUCCUAUGCCCCCCAGUGGGCCAAUAUCCAAAGACCUUGAGUGCAAGGAGCUACUGACAAUGAACAAUACUUAUGGACUGCCCGAAGAACAGUGGACCUUGGCGUGGGCCGGGUAACCCACCCACUAAUUCAUGGUCAUCCCUGACUGCCCCUAUCCCUUGCUCAUGAGAAAAUUGCUCUCCAAAUUGGCUUGCGUGGGCUGAAAUGGCUGGAUGAGGCCAUGUGUAUACAUAUCUAUAGACUGUGUAUGUGGAGCUUAAGACCUGUCUCAGUACACCAGUAACUGAUGCUGGGAGAUGAAUGGCUUAGUGCUUUUCUGCUUGGAACACAUCAUUCCUGCCAGCCGGGCACUAAUAAUUAUCACCCAAUCCAGGACUUAAACUGUGAUAGAGUGGCUGAUAGAGUGUCCAAAGAUGGGACCACUGGUCAGCUGCCAUGGACUAGAUUCUCCACCGGUUGGGGACAAUCUGGUCACCUUGCUGCCCAAUCCGGACCUGGAGCCACCACAGCACGAGUGUCAAACACUGACAGAAGCACAUGGGUGAAGAAAGACCUCUGUGACUGGCUGAUUGACGCCUGCUGAAAGCCGAGGACCUUGUCCACAGACUGGAACAGUUCUCUUCAUGAAUGAAGGUCAGAGACAAGUGGGUGCUGCCAUGGUGGACAACACAAUGUCAUCUAGAAUGGCUGAACCCCAACCCCCAGCACAUCAGCGCCACAGAUGUCUUUGCCAUCUCUUAGAUGCCCUGAUGAAGCCAACAACUGUGAGUACUAUUCAUUGCUCAGGAUAUCAGGAGGGAAGAGAUUCAGUGACAUGGGACAGUAACAAAACAGAUAAAGUGGCUCGGGAAAUGGCUAUGCAGGAGCCUAUCCUGGUUACAGGCCUACAAGAGACAGCCACUGAGAACUGAGAUUAGACUAAGGGAUGGCCUCACUUAGAAUGUACAACAGAAGAAAAGGCCCAAGUUGUUUAAAAGAUAAAAGGACAAUGAUACACUUGGGGAGAAAGCUGUACCCCCCCCCAGAGAACAAACAAAAGACUCACUUUGCCAAAUUAAGAAAUAGACUCAUUUAAGAGAUAAGAAGUUUGUCCAAAUAGUUAAAAUAUAUAUAAUAGACUUUAAGAUUUUAGCCAAGAGAGACAGUAAAAAGUAUAAGAUAGGUCAAUAAGUAAAUGCUUAACAAGCAAACAGGACAAAGAGACCUAGAGAGUUUAGUGAAAAGUCAAAAUGAACUUCACUGAGAUAAAACCAGAAAAAUAUAAUCACAAGUAUCUCCUAGUGCUUGUAGAUACUUUUUCAGGAAUAGAUAGAAGCUUUCCUCACCAAACGAGAGACGGCCUCUACAAUCAUCAAGAAGAUACUAGAAGAAAUCUUCCCCAGGUCUGGAAUGCCCAAGGUAAUCUGGUCAGACAACGGCCCUACUUUCAUUGCCAAGGUAAGCCAGGGUGUGGCCAAGUAUUUAGAGGUCUAUUAGAAAUUACAUUGUAUUUACAGACCUCAAAGUUCAGGACAGGUAGAGUAAAUAAGUAGAACUCUAAAAGAGACCCUAAACAAAUUGACCAUGGAGACUGGCACAGACUGGGUGACACUCCUUCCCUCUUGCUCUCUUCAGAGCAAAAAAUACCCCUUCCAGACUCAGCUUUACCCCCUUUGAGAUCUUAUAUGGGGCCUCAGCUCCCCUGACUGUAUUAGAUGAUGUUACUGAACCAACAUGUCAUAGUGCCAUAGUAAUAAUGAUUUGUGUGCCAGGCUAAAAGACCUACAGGUGAUACAGAAAGAAAUCUGCUCACAGCUGACAGCAGCCUAUGCCCCGGAGACCCCUGAGACAUCCCAUCAGUUCCAGGUCGGAAGCAUCUACACUGAGCCCAGACACUCGAGCCUCGCUGGAAAGGACCGUACUUGGUGCUGCUGACCACCCUGACAGCCGUCAAUUCUCAGCCCUCACCAGCCGUGUACUAGCUGUUAGGGCUGAGAGCUGGGACCUAGAGGGAAAUUCAGUCAUGUUUGUCCUGGGUUCCAUCGAGAUAGGUGUGGGGAUAAGCUUGAUUUCUAUUACAAAUGAUGUAACAUUACAUAUGUUAAUACUCCUAACACUUCUUGGGACUGUGCCUCAGGGAUCACAACCUGUAUAAGUUUAGAAGUUCUAAAAGACAGUCAUGACCUUGGUGUAUAGGUUCAGAUAGUGUCCAGAUUGGAAUCCUGAUGCUAAAGACUUAGUAAGACACAAAAAAAAGGAGUUGAGAAUUACUUAGGGCUAGGGCUAUCUAGGUGCUACAAGGGCAGCACAAGGACAUCUGCUGUUGCCCUACAAUACAAGGCUUAUAGAGAAUUCAGAACUGCCAUUGACUCAGAUAUAAAAAGAGUAAAAGACUUUUUAGCUGACCUCCAAGAAUACCUAACCUCCCUCUCAGAGGUAGUACCUGAUAUUUCUUAAAGAAGGAGUCUGUGUGCUAUCCUGAAAAAAAAUGUUGCUUCUAUACAGACCAUUCAGGAGUAAUUAAAGACUCCAUAAAUAAACUUAAAAAAAGGAUAGACAAAAGACAGACAAAAAAACACAUCAGAGAUGGUUCGAGAGCUAGUUUAGUAGAUCUCCAUGGAUGACUACCCUACAUUCUGCUACAGCUGGGCCAUUAUUAAUAAUUUUCUUGGUUUUAGUUUUUGGCCCCUGCGUGACAAACAGGUUAAUUGCUUUUGUUAAAAAUCGAGUGGGUGCUGUGCGGUUGAUGGUUGUGAGACAACAGUACCAGUCAGUUAGGACAACUGGUGAGACCAAAUACGAGACUUGAUAUCAAAAUUCUAAGAUUAGAAUUAUUUAGUAGGAGAAGACAGGAAUGAAAGGAAAAUUAUACGAAUUCUAGGUCUAGAAAUAUAAAAUUAAAAGAGUAAGCCCCAAAAGCCACAAACUCAGGGUUAAGCCCUGCCGCCAGGAAUAGCAGGCCAUAAAGAUAAAGAAAAGGAAUACAAAACCAGCUCAGGCUAUCGAGGACUGACCCAUAAACCAUCCAAAGACAUCCCCCCAGCUUACUCAGAGUCAUAUUUUAACCAGAUGUCCUCCAGACCCUGAUAAGCCUCGACUUGUGCUUUUCAGCCAUUGUGUCCUACAGAGAGCACUCCAGGAAACCGGGCAGCCCAAGCCUAACCAGAGGUGUUUCAAAUACAGAUGCUUCAUCAAUUUUGACAAACUUUUAAAAAUAAUGAGGACCUGAAGACCCAACCCUUCUCCUGAUUUAGUAGCUCUGUUCCAGGAACCAGGGGGCCAUAAAACCUUCUGGCGUCCCCUUAUCUCCUGGAGCCAUAAAACAAUCCUGUAACUUGUGGUGCAUUCCCCUUUGACAUCCCCCAUCCCCUGGUGCUCACAGCCUCUGCCUUUAAAUACUCUUUUUCCCAGCCUCUCGGGGCCGACACCUCUGUCUCCUGCACGGGAUACGUGUCGGCCCGGAGAUCUCUGUAAUAGGUCUCCGUAAUAAACCUCGCCUUUGCUUAUUACAUCCAAAAUGGUCUCUCUGUGUCUGGGGUCCACGAUUUCCCAAGACUUGAAUAAGGGUCUCUCUGCGUGGGAUCUUUCAAUUUCAACUACUUAAUGCCUUAUUAGAGGCAAGUUUUCUACAUGAAAUCAGUGAGUGAUUUCAGUGUAAAUUUGUCUGACAACUCACUGUCCUUUCAGUGCUCUGGCUCAGACAACUAAACAAAACCAUAGACCCAGCUCUUUGAAAAUGGUAAUGGAGUUGAUAACACACCCUCACGAAAAGAGGAAGACUCCAUUUGCUUACCUUCAACUACCAGCUUCACCCUGCCAGCUCAGGGAUUUCUAGUAAGACUGAAUCUGGACAAUAUUUACAAGAUUUGACAUUUCUAAUUAAUGCUUAUGUUUAGGUAAAGAAAGUUUGUGAGGUGCUAGAGAAAUGGCUUAGUGGUUAAGAGCACUAUAUACUGUUCCUUUAUAGGACAUUUAAGAACCCAAACUGGAUUGCCUGGGCUCUUUAGCAAGGGAGGACAAGAUACCAGACAGAUUAUAAUCCUUACAUAAGAACAAUUAGUGAAAAAAUCUCAUUCUUUAUAUAUCCAAUACAAUUAUGCUAGAGACAAUAAUUUGGUAUACAAGUCAAUUUAUAAAUACAAGUGCUCAGUGUCCUCAACUUAAUCCUCGAGGACUUACCUUAAUAAAUAAUAUCUUUACUAUAUCUUAAUAAAUAAAAAGGGGGAGUUAUCCCUGUAUGCUAAAUAAUGCUCCUUUUAUUUCAAUUUUAAAAUUUUGGAUGCCAAUGUUUAUGGCACCCUACAACUAGGCAUACUUCUGCCUAGGUGAAAUAGAGAGAUCCACUUAUUGACAUGUUCCUGUCCAGAUAUUUUAUAUGGGGAAGAGGGAAUGUUUGUGUUUUUUCUACAAGAUGCUACAAGAGUGUGCCAGCUGCCUGAGUGGUUGCUGAGACUUGCUGAUCCUGGUUAUUCAGCUCUCCUAGUUCGGGUCCCUGGAGUCAUUCCUCUGCCCUGAGAGGAAGAUAGAAGAUUUCCCUUCAUCCUUUGUCAUCACAGAGAUUUUGCCGUUGCUGCAGUCAGUGUUACCGCUGCGUGUGUUCCCGUCCCACUGUGGCCUACGCUCAGACUCUGUACACUGCUGCUUGCUGACUCCAGCUGUUACACUUGUCCCUUCAUUUCCCUGGUGACUCUUGCUGCCUUAACUGGUAACUGGUGUUGUCAAUUUACAGACUGUAGCUUCACAGAAAGCUACCUGUGUAAAGCUACAGUGACUGGAGAACUCUGUCCUGGUUAUACAGAUCUCAGAAAUGGUUCCAUUGUCUGCUGGUUGUUCCAGAGAAGAAUGACUGAUCCUGAACUGUCCUGGAAAAGACCUUGACACUUUCGCUGCUAUUGUAGCAGUCAUUACUGCUACAGACAUUGUGUCUGCAGUAUCUGGAGUUCCUCCCCCAAUCUAUUGUUAGACAAGUACAGUGGGUGAACUUUCUGGAGUAGUUACUAACAAUUGGGAAUUCAAAAUUUUAUUAUAAGAGCAGCUUGACUACGGUCCUUGGUGGUAACAGCUGAGGAGGACCAAAUGAGGUGCCCACUACUUAUUUGGAGUGGCUCUGUCUGGUGCAGCCCUAUGCUGUGGAUCAGUGUUCAUACUUGGUUGGUUUGCAAACUCAGAUCUCAACAGUAACAUGACAAGGCUGUUAUUCACUCAAGCACUUGUGGCCAUUGUACUAGGGGCCUCCCCUGGAAUUUGGUUAUCUUGCUCAGGACUCUCUCUGUAUCUGAGUUCCCUGCUCCUGCACCCCAUGGAUCUGUGGGUCAAUUGCACUGGGAGGAGAGGGACUCUCUCUGUAUCUGAGUUCUCUGCUCCUGCACCCCAUGGAUCUGUGGAUCCAUUGCACUGGGAUUGAGAGAGACUCAGUGAUCCUUUGAUCAGCCCUUGCACAUCGCUGAGGCUUCCUCAUUGCACGCGAUAGGGUGAUCAUGACUGCUAUAAAUUAUAUAAAUUAUAAGGGUGAGAUGUAGAGGGCCGCAAUAACAUUCGCCACCACUAGAUGGUGCUGGCUUCCACUGCGCCCCACGUGGAAGGCCAGGAUAGACUCCGCCAUUGCAAGAUGGCGCCAGCCUUCGCCACGCCAGCCGGGCCCCCUUUCAGGAAGUUAACUGUGCGCAUGUGCAAGAGUGCCUUUGUGCCAGGUCUUUGCCCACUCCGGGGCGUGCCUUAUGAGAUCAUGGGUAACAAACAAUCAGGUGUGGGUGCGCCGCACUAGGGUUUUAUAAGCGCGCCAUGUUGGCACGGCGUGGCUUUUCCUCUUCUAAGAUUAAUAAAGUGGUCACAGUAAGGAUUUCUAAAUGUCCGCGUGCUUCUUGCCAGCGGGAGGUCGCGCGCGGGACAGAUGUCAACAUACCCAAAGUGAUGACCUUUCUGAAAAACCAACACCAUGUUGACAUCAGCUGACCACACGAAUACUGUGUCCUUGGCCUGCAUAAAUGUUUCCCACUUGCCCCCUCUCUCUGUUACCCCUGUUAUGGUAUAAAUUAAUCCUUGGAAAAAAUUAAAAUUGUUGUCUUGAUCAGACUCUUGUCUUGACAUACUUCUUUGUGUCUCUUGUCCCCAAUUCUCUUCCAGGUAACCUCAGCACCCUCGUUGACAAAUGACACCUAGCAUACCGCAGUUUAGAGGUCUCCUGGAAGAGAACAUUGUCCCCGUGAAUAGACAGGCCUGUCUUCCUUCUUCAUCGGAGCCUUUGCUUCCCCUUGGAGCCUUUGCCCCUCCCUUGGAGCCUUUGCUCCCCAGCUUCUGGCAACCAUGGACCACCUGACCUAGGUUCAGAGGCUUGGUGUGUUUCUACCCGGAUGACACAGAUCUCAGUGUGUUGCCUGGUUUUAUUUGAGUAGCAGACUGUAGCUACAGCUUCUGAUUUGGUAAGUGUUAUGCAUUUGUUUAUGUUAUUAGAUUAUUUGUUUAAAUUAUCUCUGGUACAUUUAUCUAGUUCAGUGGAACAUAAAAUUUUAAAGUAUUUUCUCAUUAUUUUCUGAAUUAUCUCAUUGUUGAAUGGUUUCCCUUUUCAUGUCUACUAUUGGUAAUUUGUAUCUUCUUGUUCAGCUAAUUUUGCUAAUAGUUUGUCGAUAUUUUUAAUAUUUUUGAAGAUAAAACUUUUGGGUUAAAUCUUUGUAUUUUUAUAUAUUCUUAAUUUCAUCUAUGAUUUUAUUUCUAUGUACCUGUGCCUACUGCUGUAGAAGAUAGUCCUAUUUCCAAGACCUUCACAUUUAUCAUUAGUGCUAUCAUAGCACAUUUAUCAUAGCUGUGCUAUUAGUUUUAGGUUUUUAAUUUUUUAUAUAUUUACAACUUACACAUAUAAUAUAUCAUUUUAGCACAGCCUCCAUUGCAUCAUGUAGAUUUUGGUAUGUUGUGUUUUCAUAUUCGUUACAUUCUAGAAACUUUAUUAAAAUUCCCUGCUUGACUUCUCCUUUGUCACAAUUAUCAUUCAGUACUGUGCUUUUUAGUUUUCAUGAGUUUGUGUACUUGUAUUGUUUCUAUUGAUUUUGGCAGCCAGGCUUAUUCCAGGCUUAUUCCAAUAUAGUCUGAUAGAAUACAGCAUGUUAUUUCAUUUUUUCUAUGUUGGGGUGGAUUUGAAUAUUACUGUGUGGGUGAUUUUGGAGAAAGUUUAUAUGCUAAUGAGAAAAAUUCACUAUUAAUCUUUUUGAAUGUUCAGUGUAAUAUUCUGUUAGGUCUAAUUACUUUAUGAACCAUUGAACUCUAAUGUUUCCCAGUUUAGAUUCCUCCAUAUGACUUGUAUGUUAGUCAGAGUGGAAUAUUAAGCUCAUCUACAACAAUUGGAUUGGGGUUAAUCUGGAUUUUAGAUCAAUUGUUAUGUCUUUUACGAGUUGGUUAGUUUAUAAUCAAAAUUGCAAUAUUCUGUCAAUGGAUAUUCCUUUAAUACAUAUGUAGGGAUAUUUAAUAACCACUUUUGAUUACUUUUUUUCCAAACUUUAUUUUGUCAGUUAUUACAACAGCUGUGCUGGCUUGUUUCUUUUUUCUAUUUGUUUAGAUGUGGGGAAUGGUUACAGUUCUGAGUGAGUGUGUAUCAUUGACAUGGCCACAGCUCUAUAAUACUGUUUGAGGUCAGGUAUUGUGACUCCCCCAGAAGUUCCUUUAUUGUUGAGUAUAGUUUUCACUAUCCUGGAAUUUUUGUUAUUUAAAAUGAAUUUGCAAAUUUCUCUUUCUAACUCUAUGAAGAAUUGAGUUGGAAUUUUGAUUGGAGUUGCAUUGAAUCUGUAGAUUGCUUUGGGCAAAAUGACCAUUUUUACUAUAUUAAUCCUGCCAAUCCAUGAGCAUGGGAGGACUUCCCAUCUUCUGAGAUCUUCUUCAAUUUCUUUCUUUAGAGAUUCGAAGUUCUUGUCAUACAGAUCUUUCACUUGCUUGGAUAGGUUACAAGGAGGUAUUUUAUGUUAUUUGGAAGAAUUAUGAAGGGUGUCAUUUCCCUAAUUUCUUUCUCAACUUGUUUAUUCUUUCAGUAGAGCAAGACUACUGAUUUGUUUGAGUUAAUGUUAUGCCAAGCCACUUUGCUGUAGUUGUUUGUCAGGUUUAGGAAUUCUCUGGUGGAACUUUUCGGGUCACUUAAAUGUACUACUAUAUCAUCUGCAAAUAGUAAUAUUUUGACUUCUAUCUUCCACAAUUUCUAUCCCUUUGACAUCCUUUCCUUGUCUGAUUGUUCUGGCUAGUACUUUGAGUACUACAUUGAAUAAGUAGGGAGAGAGUGGCAGCCCUCUUUAGUCCCUAGUUUUAGUGGGAUUGUUCAAGUUUCUCUUGAUUUAGUUUUGUGUUAGCUACUGGUUGUCUAUAUAUUGCUUUUACUAUGUUUAGCCACGGGCCUUGAAUUCCUCGACGUUCCAGGACUUUUAUCAUGAAGGUGUGUUGUAUUUGGUACAGUGCUUUCCAUGCAUCUAAUGAAAUGAUCAUGUGCUUUUUAACUUUGAGUUUGUUUAUAUAGAAGAUUUCAUUGAUGGAUUUCCAUAUAUAAGAAGGAUUUGUUCAUCCAUGAGAUGAAGCAUACUUGUUCAUGAUGUAUGAUUGUUUUGAUGUGUUCUGGGAUUCCAUUUGUGAGAAUUUUAUUGAGUAUUUUUGCUUGAUAAUAUGUACAUAGUAAUAAGAAAAAUUGGUCUGAAGUUCUCUUUCUUUGUUGGGGCUUUGUGUGGUUUGAGUGUAAGCAUAAUUGUGCCUUCACAAUAGGAAUUUGGUAGUACUCUGUUUCUAUUUUGUGAAAUUAUUUGGACAGCAUUGUUUUGAGGUCUUCUAUGAAGUUCUGAUGGAAUUCUGCACUAAACCCAUUUGGAACUGGGCUCUUUAUGGUUGGGAGAAUUUUAAUAAUUGCUCCUAUGUCUUUAGGAUUUAUGGGGCUGUUUAGAUGGUUUAUCUGUUCUUGAUUAAACUUUGAUAUCUCUUAUUUGUCUAGAAAAUUGUCCAUUUCCUCCAGAUUUUCAAGUUUUGUUGAAUAUACACUUUUGUAUUAUGAUCUGACGACUUUUUUGAAUUUCCUCAUAUUCCGUUGUUAUGUCUUUCUUUUCUGAUUUUGUCGAUUUGGAAACAUUCUCUGUGCCUGCUGGUUCUCCUGGUUAAGGAUGUUUUUAUUUUUUGAUUUUUCUCAAAGAACCAACUCCUAGUUUUGUUGAUUGUUGAAUAGUCCUUUUUGAUUCCAUGUGAUUGAUUUCAACCCUGAAUUUGAUUAUUUCCUGAUGUCUACUCCCCUUGGGUGUAUUUGUUUCUUUUUGUUCUAGAGCUCUUAGUUGGGCUGCCAAGCUGCUGAUGUGUGCUCUCUCCUGUUUCUAUUUGCAGGCACUCAGAGCUAUGAAUUUUCCUCUUAGCACAGCUUUCAUUGUGCCCCAUAAGUUUGGGUACGUUGUACCUUCAUUUUCAUUAAUUUCUAAGAAGUCUUUAAUUUCUUUCUUUAUUUCUUCCUUGACUAGGUUAUCAUUGAGUAGAGCAUUGUUCAACUUCCAUGCAUAUGUGGGCUUGCUGUCAUUUUUAUUACUCUUGAAGACCAGUGUUAGUCCAUGAUGAUGUGAUAGGUUGCAUGGGACUAUUUUGUCUUCUUGCAGUAGUUGAUGCCUUUUUUGUGGCCUAUUAUACAGUCAAUUUUGGAGAAGGUACAGUGACGUUCAGAGAAGAAGGUGUAUCCUUUUGUUUUAGGAAGAAUAUUCUGUAACUAUCUGUUAAGUCCAUUUGGUUCAUAACUUCUCUAUGUCUCUUUUUGAUUUCUGAUUCCAUAUUCUGUCCAUUGAAGAGAGUGGGGAAUUGAAAUCUACUAUUAUUGUGUGCAGUAGAAUGUGUGCCUUAAGCUUUAGUAGGUUUGUUUUAUGAAUGUAGGUGCCCUUGCAUUUGGAGCAUAGAUAUUUAGGAUUGAGAGUUUAUCUUGGUGUGUUUUACUUUAGUUGAAUAUGAAGUAUCCUUCCUUAUCUUUUUUAAUAACUUUUGAUGUAAAGUUGAUUUCAUUGGGUAUUAGAAUGGCUACUCCAGGUUUUUUCUUUGAUCAAUUGCUUGGAAAGUUGUUUUCCAGCCUUUUUCAUUGAGUUACUGUCUGUCUUUGUCUCUGAGUUAUGUUUUCUGUAUGCAGUCAAAUGCUGGGUCCUCUUCACAUAUGAAGUCGUUCAGUCUAUGUCUUUUUAUUGCGGAAUUAUGUCUAUUGUGUCUAUUGAUUUCAAGAGGUAUAAAGGAACAGUUAUUGUUGUUUCCUGUUAUUUUUGUUGUUUGAGGUGGAAUUAUGUUUGUGUGUCUCUCUUCUUUUGCUUUCGAUGCAAGGAUAUAACUUUGUCGCUUUUUCUACAAUGUAAUUUCCAUACUUGUGUUGGAGUUUUUGAUCUAUUAUAAUUUAUCGAGCUGGAUUUGUAGAAAGAUACUGUAUAAAUUUGGUUUUGUCAUGGACUAUAUUGGUAUCUUCAUCUUUUUUUUAUUAACUUGAGUAUUUCUUAUUUACAUUUCAAGUGUUAUUCCCUUUCCCGGUUUCCGGGAAAACAUCGCCCUAACCCCUCCCCUUCAUUAUGGGUGUUCCCCUCCCCAUCCUCCCCCCAUUGCCACCCUCCCCCCAACAAUCACGUUCCCUAGGGGUUCAGUCUUAGCAGGACCAAGGGCUUCCCCUUCCACUGAUGAUCUUACUAGGAUAUUCACUGCUACCUAUGAGGUCUGAGUCCAGGGUCAGUCCAUGUAUAUAUAGUCUUUAGGUAGUGGGUUAGUCUCUGGAAGCUGUGGUUGCUUGGCACUGUUGUUCAUAUGGGGGUCUCAAGCCCCUUCAAGCUCUUGCAGUUCUUUCUCUGAUUCCUUCAACAGGGGUCCUAUUCUCACUUCAGUGGUUUGCUGCUGGCAUUCGCCUCUGUAUUUGCCGUAUUCUGGCUGUGCAUCUCAGAAGAGAUCUACAUCCGGCUCCUGUCUGCCUGCACUUCUUUGCUUCAUCCAUCUUGUCUAAUUGGGUGGCUGUAUAUGUAUGGGCCACAUGUUGGGCAGGCUCUGAAUGGGUGGUCCUUCUGUCUCUGUUUUAAUCUUUGCCUCUCUAUUCCACAGCAAGGGUAUUCUUGUUCCCCUUUUAAAGAAGAUAUGAAGCCAUCACAUUUGAUCAUCCGUCUUGAGUUUCAUGUGACCUAUGCAUCUAGGGUAAUUCAUGCAUUUGGGCUAAUAGCCAAUAAUCAAUGAGUGCAUACCAUGUGUGUUUUCCUGUGAUUGGGUUACCUCACUCAGGAUGAUAUUUCCCAGUUUCCUAAAUUUGUCUAUGAAUUUCAUAAAGGCAUUGUUUUUGAUAGCUGAGUAAUAUUCCAUUCUAUAGGUGUACCACAUUUUCUGUAUCCAUUCCUCUGUUGACGGGCAUCUGGGUUCUUUCCAGCUUCUGGCUAUUAUAAAUAAGGCUGCUAUGAACAUAGUGGAGCAUGUGUCUUUUUUAUAUGUUGGGGCAUCUUUUGGGUAUAUGCCCAAGAGAUGUAUAUACCUGGGUCUGCAGGUAGUGCAAUGUCCACUUUUAUAAGGAACCUACAGACUUAUUUCCAGAAUAGUUGUACCAGUCUGCAAUCCCACCAACAAUGGAGGAGUGUUCCUCUUUUUCCACAUCCUCACCAGCAUUGUUGUCACCUGAGUUUUUGAUCUUAGCCAUUCUCACUUGUGUGAGGUAAAAAUCUCAGGGUUGUUUUGAUUUGCAUUUCCCUUAUGACUAAGGUGUUGAACAUUUCUUUAGGUGUUUCUCAGCCAUUUGGCGUUCCUCAGGUGUGAAUUCUUUGUUUAGCUCUGAACCCCAUUUUUUAAUAGGGUUAUUUGUCUCCCUGCGGUCUAACUUCUUGAGUUCGUUGUAUAUUUUGAAUAUAAGCCCUCUAUCUGUUGUAGGAUUGGGAAAGAUCUUUCCCCAAUCUGUUGGUUGCCGUUUUGUCCUAACCUCAGUGUCCUUUGCCUUACAAGAGCUUUGCAGUUUCAUGAGAUCCCAUUUGUCGAUUCUUGAUCUUAGAGCAUAAGCCAUUGGUGUUUUGUUCAGGAAAUUUUUUCCAGUGCACAUGUGAUCGAGAUGCUGCCCUAGUUUUUCUUCUAUUAGUUUGAGUGUAUCAGGUUUGAUGUGGAGGUCCUUGAUCCACUAGGUCUUAAGCUUUGUACAGGGUGAUAAGCAUGGAUUGAUUUGCUUUCUUCUACAUGUUGACCUCUAGUUGAACCAGCACCAUUUGCUGAAAAUGCUAUCUUUUUUCCAUUGGAUGGUUUUGGCUCCUUUGUCAAAAAUCAAGUGCCCAUAGGUAUGUGGGUUCAUUUCUGGGUCUUCAAUUCUGUUGCAUUGGUCUAUCUGUCUGUCUCUGUACCAAUACCAUGCAGUUUUUAUCACUAUUGCUCUGUAAUACUGCUUGAGUGCGGAGAUAGUGAUUCCCCCUGAAGUCCUUUUAUUGUUGAGGAUAGGUUUAGCUAUCCUGGUUUUUUUGUUAUUCCAGAUGAAUUUGCAAAUUGUUGUGACUAACUCAUUGAAGAAUUGGAUUGGUAUUUUGAUGUGGAUUGCAUUGAAUCUGUAGAUCACUUUUGGUAAAAUGGCCAUUUUUACUAUAUUAAUCCUGCCAAUCCAUGAGCAUGGGAGAUCUUUCCAUCUUCUGAGGUCUUCUUCAAUUUCUUUCUUCAGAGUCUUGAAGUUCUUAUUGUCAAGAUAUUUUACUUGCUUGGUUAAAGUAACAAAGAGGUACUUUAUACUCUUUGGGUCUAUUAUGAAGGGUGUCAUUUCCCUAAUUUCUCUCCCGGCUUGUUUCUCUUUUGUGUAGAGGAAGGCUACUGAUUUAUUUGAGUUAAUUUUAUACCCAGCCACUUUGCUGAAGUUGUUUAUCAGAUUUAGUAGUUCUCUGGUGGAACUUUUGGGAUCCCUUAAAUAUACUAUCAUAUCAUCUACAAAUAGUGAUAUUUUGACUUCUUCUUUUCCAAUCUGUAUCCCCUUGAUAUCCUUUUAUUGUCUGAUUGCUCUGGCUAGAACAUUAAGAACUAUAUUGAAUAAGUAGGGAGAGAGUGGGCAGCCUUGUAAAGUCCCUCAUUUUAGUGGGAUUGCUUCAAGUUUCUCUCCAUUUAGUUUAAUGUUAGCAACUGGUUUGCUGUAGGUAGCUUUUACCAUUUUUAAGUAUGGGCCUUGAAUUCCUAUUCUUUCCAGGACUUUUAUCAUGAAGGGGUAUUGAAUUUUGUCAAAUGCUUUCUCAGCAUCUAAUGAAAUGAUCAUGUUGUUUUAUUCUUCCAGUUUGCUUAUAUAAUGAAUCAUGUUGUUGGUUUUCCUUAUAUUAAACCAUCCCUGCAUGCCUGGGAUGAAGCCUACUUGAUCAUGGUGGACGAUUGUUUUGAUCUGCUUUUGGAUUCGGUUUGCCAGAAUUCUAUUGAGUAUUUUUGCGUCGGUAUUCAUAAGGGAAAUUGGUGUGAGGUUCUCUUUCUUUGUUGGGUCUUUGUGAGGUUUACGUAUAAGAGUAAUUGUGGCUGCAUAGAAGGAAUUCAGUAGUGUUCCAUCUAUUUCAAUUUUGUGGAAUAGUUUGGAUAGUAUUGGUAUGAGGUCUUCCAUGAAGGUCUGAUAGAAUUCUGCACUAAACCCCUCUGGACCUGGGCUCUUUUUGGUUGGGAGACCUUUAAUAACUGCUUCUAUUUCCUUAAGACUUAUGGGGUUGUUUAACUGGUUUAUCUGUUCCUGAUUUAACUUCGGUACCUAGUAUCUGUCAAGGAAAUUGUCCAUUUCCUGCAGAUUUUCAAGUUUUGUUGAAUAUAGGCUUUUAUAUUAAGAUUUGAUUAUUUUAUGAAUUUCCUCUGAAUCUGUAGUUAUGUCUCCCUUUUCAUUCCUGAUUUUGUUCAUUUGGACACACUCUCUCUGUCCUCUCAUUAUUCUGGUUAAGGGUUUAUCUAUCUUGUUGAUUUUCUCAAAGAACCAACUUUUGGUUCUGUUGAUUCUUUCUAUGGUCCUUUUUGUUUCUAUUUGGCUGAUUUCAGCUCUGAGUUUGAUUAUUUCCUGCCUUCUACUCCUCCUGGGUGUAUUUGCUUCUUUUUGUUCUAGAGCUUUUAGGUGUGCUGUCAAGCUGGUGAAAUAUGCUCUCUCCUGUUUCUUUUUGCAGUUACUCAGAGCUAUGAAUUUUCCUCUUAGCACAGCUUUCAUUGUGCCCCAUAAGUUUGGGUACGUUGUACCUUCAUUUUCAUUAAUUUCUAAGAAGUCUUUAAUUUCUUUCUUUAUUUCUUCCUUGACUAGGUUAUCAUUGAGUAGAUCAUUGUUCAACUUCCAUGUAUAUGUGGGCGUUCUUCCCUUAUUUUUAUUGAGGACAAGCUUUAGGCCGUGGUGGUCUGAUAGCACACAUGGGAUUAUUUCUACCUUUCUGUACGUGUUGAGGCCCGUUUUUUGACCAAUUCUAUGGUCAGUUUUGGAGAACGUACCGUGAGGAGCUGAGUAGAAUGUAUAUCUUUUGCUUUAGGAUAGAUUGUACUAUAAAUGACUGUUAAGUCCAUUUGGUUCAUGACUUUUCUUAGUCGGUCUACAUCUCUGUUUAAUUUCUCUUUCCAUGAUCUGUCCAUUGAUGAGAGUUGGGUGUUGAAAUCUCCUAAUAUUAUUGUGUGAGGUGCAUUGUGUGUUUUUCUUUAGUAAGGUAUCUUUUACGUAUGUAGGUGACAUUUUAAUUGGGGCAUAUAUAUUUAGGACUGAGAGUUCAUCUUGGUGGAUUGUUCCUUUGCUGAAUAUGAAGUGUCCUUCCUUACCUUUUUUGAUGACUUUUAGUUGAAAAUUGAUUUUAUUUGAUAUUAUAAUGGCUACUCCACCUUGCUUCUUCAGACCAUUUGCUUGGAAAGUUUUUUCCAGCCUUUCAUUCUGAGGUAGUGUCUGUCUUUGUCUCUGAGGUGUGUUUCCUGUAGGCAGCAGAAUGCAGGGUCCUCAUUGAGUAUCCAGUUUGUUAAUCUAUGUCUUUUUAUUGGGGAGGUGAGACCAUUGAUGUUGAGAGAUAUUAAGGAAUAGUGAUUAUUACUUCCUGUUAUAUUCAUAUUUGGAUGUGAGGUUCUGUUUGUGUGCUUUUCUUCUCUUUGUUUUGUUGCCAAGAUGAUUAGUUUCUUGCUUUUUCUAGGGUGUAACUUGCCUCUUUAUGUUGGGCUUUACCAUUUAUUAUCCAUUGUAGCGCUGGAUUUGUAGAAAGAUAUUGUGUAAAUUUGGUUUGGCAUGAAAUAUUUUUGUUUCUCCACCUAUGUUAAUUGAGAGUUUUGCAGGAUACAGUAACCUGGGCUGGCAUUUGGGUCUCUACAACAUCUGUCCAGGAUCUUCUGGCUUUGGUAGUCUCUGGCGAAAAGUCUGGUGUGAUUCUGAUAGGUCUGCCUUUAGAUGUUACUUGACCUUUUUCCCUUACUGCUUUUAAUAUUCUUUCUUUAUUUUGUGCGUUUGGUGUUUUGACUAUUAUGUGACGGGAGGAGUUUCUUUUCUGGUCCAAUCUAUUUGGAGUUCUGUAGGCUUCUUGUAUGCUUAUGGGUAUCUCUUUCUUUAAGUUAGGGAAGUUUUCUUCUAUGAUUUUGUUGAAGAUAUUUACUGGUCCUUUGAGCUAGGAGUCUUCACUCUCUUCUAUACCUAUUAUCCUUAGGUUUGAUCUUCUCAUUGAGUCCUGGAUUUCCUGUAUGUUUUGGACCAGUAGCUUUUUCUGCUUUACAUUAUCUUUGACAGUUGAGUAGAUGAUUUCUAUAUAAUCUUCUGUUCCUGAGAUUCUCUCUUCUGUCUCUUGUAGUCUGUUGGUGAUGCUCAUAUUUACGGCUCCUUGUCUCUUCAUUUGGUUUUCUAUAUCCAGAGUUGUUUCCAUGUGUUCUUUCUUGAUUGCUUCUAUUUCCAUUUUAAAUUCCUUCAACUGUUUCAUUGUGUUUUCGUGGAAUUCUUUCAGGGAUUUUUGUGAUUCCUCUCUGUAGGCUUCUACUUGUUUAUUUAUGUUUUCCUUUGUUUCUCUAAGGGAGUUCUUCAUAUCUUUCUUUCCAACAUCAUGAUCAAAUAUGAUUUUGAAUCUAGAUCUUGCUUUUCUGGUGUCUUUGGAAAUUCCGUGUUUGCUUUGGUGGGAGAAUUAGGCUCCGAUGAUGCCAUGUAGUCUUGGUUUCUGUUGCUUGGGUUCCUGUGCUUGCCUCUCGCCAUCAGAUUAUCUCUAGUGUUACUUUGUUCUGCAAUUUCUGACAGUGGCUAGACUGUCCUAUAAGCCUGUGUGUCAGAAGUGCUGUCGACCUCUUUUCCUGUUUUCUUUCAGCCAGUUAUGAGAACAGAGUGUUCUGAUUUUGGGAGUAUAGUUUUUCCUAUCUACAGGUCUUCAGCUGUUCCUGUGGGCCUGUGCCCUGAGUUCACCAGGCAGGUCACUUGGAGCAGAAAAGUUGGUCUUACCUGUGGUCCUGAGGCUCAAGUUUGCUCGUGGGGUGUUGCUUAUGAGCUCUCCGAGUGGGUAGCCACCAGGAGGACCUGUGCCGCCCUUUCUGGGUGCCCCUGUGCACCAGAGUCCCAGAUGGAGUUUGGUGUUUCCCUCUGGAGUCAGAGAGGUGGGCAGAGUGUAGUCUCUUCUGGUUUCCCAGGCGUGUCUGCCUCUCUGAAGGUUUACCUCUCCCUCCCUCGGGAUUUUGGUGCAGAGAACUGUUUAUUCAGUCCGUCCCUUCAGGUUCCGGCGGUGACUCAGACGCAGGGGAUCUGCUGCUUCUGUGCCCUUAUCUCUAUCUUCAUCUAUCUUAAUUGAGAGCUUUGCUGGAUAUAGUAAUUUGGGUUGGCAUUUGUAUUCUCUCAGGGUCUGUAUGAUAUCUGCCCAGGAUCUUCUGUCUUUCAUACUCUUUUGGUGAGAAGUUUGACAUAAUUCUUAUAGGUCUCCCUUUAUAUGUUAAUUGACAUAUUUUCCCUUACUGCUUUUAAAAUUCUUUUCUGUUUGGUGCAUUUGUUGUUUUGACUAUUAUGUGAUGGGAGAAAUUUCUUUUCUGGGGCAAUCUAUUUGGAGUUCUGUAGGCUUCUUUUAUAUCUAUGGGCAUCCCUUUUUUAGAUUAGGGAGGUUUUCUUCUAUAAUUUCGUUGAAAAUAUUACUGGACAUUUAAGUUGGGAGUCUUCACUCUCUUCUAUACCUAUUUUCCUUAGAUUUGAUAUUCUUAUUGUGUCCUGGAUUUCCUGGAUGUUUUGGCCUAUGAACUUUUUGUAUUUUACAUUGUCUUUGAUGUUUGUGUCGAUGUUUUCUAUAGCAUCUUCUGUCCCUGAGAUUGUCUCUUCUAUCUCUUGUAUUCUGUUUGUGAUGUUUGCAUCUUUGUCUCCUGAUCUCUUCCCUAGGUUCUCUAUCUCAAGGCUUGCCUCCCUUUGUGCUUUUUCAUUGUUUCUAUUUCCAUUUUAAAAUCCUGGAUGGUUUUGUUCAAUUCCUUCACCUGUUAGGGUGUGUUUUCCUAUAAUUCUUUAAGGGGUUCUCUAAGGGAUUUUUGUGUUUGCUCUUUAAUGGCUUUUGUGUAUUUACUUGUGUUGUCCUCUACUUCUUUAAGGGAGCCAUUUAUAUCUUUUUUAAAGUCCUCCUUCAUCAUCAUAAAAUGUAAUUUUUAAAUGUAAAUAUUGCUUUAUUUGUGUUUUUGGAUAUUUAAUAUUAGCUUUGUUGGGAAAACUGGGCUCUGAUGAUGGCAAGUAGUCUUGGUUUCUUUUGCUUAGGUUGCUAUGCUUGCCUCUCACCAUCAGGUUGUCUCUGGUGGCAACAUUUCUUGCCAUUUCUGACAGUGGCUUGACCCUUCUGUAGGUCUCUAUGUCAGCACUCCUGUAAACCUCCUUUCCGGCAUUCUUUCACCUGGAACUUAGAGUACUCUGCUCUCAGGCGUGUAGGCAUUCCUGAUAACUGUUUUUCAGCUCUUGGCACAUGCACGAAUCUGAAGGGUACUGCCCCUUACUGCUCCUAGGUUCCUGCGCAUAGGUAGCACAUAUGACACUAGGUGAUUUCCCCUUGGGUGGUGAAUAUGGGCAGAGAGUAGUCUCCUCUGAUUUCUCAGGAGUGUCUGGAUUUCUGAGGAUCCAGCUCUCUCUGCCAUGGGAUUUUGGUACACAUAGCUGUUUGACCAGUUGGGUUCAGCUCCAGGAGCAGAUCAGAACAGCAGGCUCCUGCUGUUAACUGUUCCUAUAGUCUUAUGUUCAGAGGCACUAUGCAAUUUCCUCUUGGGCCAUGGAUGUGGUAAAAGUUGGGCAGAAGCGGCAGUCUGUCCUUCAGCCUCAGAAUGGUCCGCACUUCAGGGUGUUCAUCUCUUUCGCCCAUGGCAUUUGGGAGCAGGGAACUGUGGGAUGAAAUCAAUUCAGGUCCAGGCAUGGCCAGAAACUGGAAGUGCCCUGUCCCUUACGACUUUGUGGGUCCUGAAUCCAUCAGUCAGGUCACUUAGAGCAGAAAAGUUGGUCUUACCUCUGCUCUCAGGUGUGUAGGUGCUUCUGGUAACUGUCUUUCUUUUCUUGGUGCUGGCAGAAAUCAGAAGCAUCCUGCCCCUGACUGCUCCUAGGUCCCUGCGCCCAAGGGCACAGCUGUCACUGGGUGAUUCUCUCUUCAGUCUGGAAUGUGGGCAGAGGAUAAUCUCCUCUGAUUCCUCAGAAGUGUCUGCACUUCUGAAGGUCCAUCCCUCUCCCCCUUGGGAUUUGGGUUCAGGGAUAUACAUUUUUAUUAACCAUCUUGGCAUUGUAAUUUCCGUGUGUGUGCUUGGGUGUGUUUUUCUUUCUCUUCAGAAUGAUGUAUUUCUUCUCAUAUCUUCUGUAGAAUUUAACUAGUCAGUAUUUAUCAUGGAACAAUGUGUUUCUCCUUCAAUUUUAAUAGGUAGCUUUGUUUGGUGUAAUGUUUCUUAUGUAUUAGAACUUGGCAUACAUCUUCUAGAACCUUCACUCUUUUCAAAUUUCUGUGGAAUAAUCACACUAUUCUCAUGUGCUCACUUUUUUGAUAAAUAGACCAUUUCUUUUCCUUCCUCUUGUAGCUUUCAGUAUCCUUUCAUUAUUCCAUCAUUUGUUUUUUUUGCUUUUAAUCUUUUGAGAGAUAUAUGACUGCUGUUAUGGAUAAUUAUAUUCUUGUCAUCUCUGGUUCUGAGGACUAUUCUUGACCACUGCCUGAUAUUGUCUCUGGCUUGGUUCCAUCAGUGGUUCUGAACAUUGUUCUCUUUUUGCUUUGCUUCUAGAUUAGACAUUUGCACUUAUUCUCUGCAUUCAUCAUUCACUAGAUUUCACAAUUCUUUGAGUAUCUCACACACAAAUCUGACAGUAAAGCCCAUGGGAAAGAAGCCAGAAGAGUAUAUCCUACUAGGUCACAAAGUAGCAAUGAGGAACCUGGAUUCUCUCCAGGCAAACUGCUCAAUCCAUAGCCUGGCAUCACUCUGCAUUUCCUUCCUUGCCUGUACAUGCUACUUCCUGAGUUCUCUGUCUUCUCUCUGCUACUCUUCAGUUUUAGAAUCUCAGUGUAAAUAGAAAUUACUUCUUGGUGCCUCUGCUGGUGAACUUCCUGGAAAUGAGUUCAUGGCAGAUGGUAGGAACCAGUGCUUGUGUGUAAACAUACAGAUCAUGUUUUGUUCUUUUGGGAGAUCUGCAAUAGAUGGUAUUUGACUAUGGUUAAAUGAACUCUUCAUUUCCAUACCUGUACAUUCUCCUUCUCCCCUUGCCACUGAUAUGACAAUCAUAGUGCUUUUCUCUUUUUCCUGUUCCUGGUCCUCUGUCAAAUUGCUUAUCUUCUUUCUCCUCAUUUUGUUUCUUUUAUACUUCAUUUUCACUUUUUAUUUAACUUACUUGUUCAUACCCUAAAUGUAGUAUAAAAGGUGGGCAAGAAGAGUUCUUAAUAGGAUGAUGAUAAUGAGAAAAAUGGAGGAACUGUCCAAUCCUGUAUGGCCAGCUCAAGCAGGCUUCAUCACAUCUCCUAUUUUCAUCCUUAAAGUGUGUCCAUUACCUUGAUUUAGGGUGGGGAAAGAUUUUUGUCCUACUUAAACCAUCCUGUUUAAGAGUCAAAGUCAUGAUUUCCCUGCAGAGGUAAAUUCAAUAUACAUCCAACUUCUCCCCUCAUUUUUUUCUUAUACCGAGCCAUGGGCUCAGUUCCUGUACAGUGUUUGAAGCUGGGCUCAAAAUGAUCCUCAUACACUUGGUUUCAUCCUU